rnacentral:rRNA from 2 species
CCUGAUGACAAUAGCAGUUUGGUACCACCUGAUCCCAUCUCGAACUCAGCAGUGAAACGAACUAACGCCGAUGGUAGUGCAAGGUCUCCUUGUGUGAGAGUAGGUAAUCGUCAGGC